CGGGCGGCGGGUGCCGCCAUGUUGUACGGCAGCUGGUGUUGGGGCGGCUGUGUACCUGGACAGGCGUCAGCGUGCCUUCAGCCGGGGCAGCGAGCACUGGCAAAAAUAUUGCAAAGCGAGCUCUUUUCGGGAGAGUGGAAAGAGCGGCUUGUUGUCUGAGAUUAGGAGGGCUCGAGGAGGGAGCCGCAGAGGGGCAGUGGAAGCCACCCGACCCGGAGGACCGGGGAGCCCCUCGGGCAGGAGGGACCAGAGAGAGUGGAAAGAACAAAGGCAGCCAGGAAAAUAAAUAGGAAUGCGUAGCCACCUCGAAGUGGCAAACUGGAAGAAAACAAAGAGGGGGGAAAUCGAGCGGGAAGGUCUGCAUCUGCCCUACAGUCACAACCUGGACACAGCCUCUCCAUCCAUCCCCUAUGCUCCAAUGCACCAGACAGCUGACCAGCUGAAAUGGAGGUCACCAAGCAGGAGCCAGCACUACUCUGAAGCUCCUCACGCAACUUGCGCUCAGAAGAAAAGUGCAUCACAUGCAUGCUCAGGAGAGAAAACUAGAGGGGUCUGGCUGUAACUGAGUUUCUGUAGUUGGGUGGACAUGUUCUGCCUCCUUCUUUCCCUCUCUCUUCCCUUCACACCUCCCACCCUCCAAGGUAUAAUGCUUUGUUCUAUUUGUUCACUGUAGUCUAGCAUAAACCUGGAUGGCCACUUGGAAGGAUAGUCCCAGAUUUCCUGUUGUACCUGUGAUUUGACUGCUCGCUCCCUGCUCCCUUGCUCCAGCACCUACAUUUCUGUAAUGAUGGGUCAGAGAAUCCGGAGACUAAUCUGGCUGUAAAGGAGUUCAAGGGAAAAAGGUAACUACCUGGGGACACAACAGACUUGUCUAAGGCCCAGGUGAAUUGAAGGAGACCUAAGAAGAUGGUUUGUCUGGGCUCCAGGAUGCAGGUCCCUCAUUGUGGGGCAGCCUCACUUCUGCAAACGCUGGUGGCCAGUUUGAUUCAAGGAAUUAAGCGAGUGGAAAGCUAGCACAGAAAAAAAAAAUGGAGAUUUCUCAUGGUUUAACUCCUUGUAGUAACUCACCAUACAGCCAGAUCUCAGUGAAACUACAUCCUAAGCCAAAAGAUGAGUCAGUGGUUGCUCACUGCAGGAAUCUGCCAAAGUUUGCAGGGUUUGCAAAGAAUUUGAAAAAAACACUCUCAGAGGUAUGUAAGCUGCCAGAUCCCAUGAGGAUGAGCUGUAUUAGCGUCGAUCAUCAUCAAUGUAUUUCUUCCUUAAUUGCCAACUCUUUUCACUAUUUAUGUAGAAGCUAAGAGGAAUUUCACAGUUCCAUUUCUUGAAGAGCACUUAACUUAUCCCAG